GCCGAAGUGAAACUGAAAAGCCUGCAGCGGAAUGCAAAAACUUCAGUCUUGAAGCAUUGGUGGUGAAGUCUGAACUCACAGGCAUCACUAUUUCUUAGCAGCUGCUGAGACGCAAGAACACCUGCUGUAUUCUCCCAGCAAACACUGGGGCCAUGGCGCCUCUCCUAUAAUGACACCUCAUCAAUCCGCUCCUAUCAAUGUCCCGGCUAUGGAGGUGACUUGGAGUGCUCAGAAGCCUUAGAAAAUGUCAACGUUUUGGGAGAAAAGAGACACUAUCAUUUCAGAAAGAAUCAUCAAUACAGAGCUGUGGCAUGAUUGAGUAAGAAGAGUGUUGGAUUUGGAGACAGUAGAGCGGAGUUUAAAUGUCAACUCUCCUAUUCACUCUGUGAAGACCAUUGAACUUCUCUGGACCUCAGUUUCUUCAACCAUAAAAUGAAUGGCUACUGAGUUCCCUUUUAUCUGUAAGUAUAUAAUUUAUUCUAAAUUUAGUCUUUCU
rnacentral:lncRNA from 1 species